rfam:Cavia porcellus supercont2_5 genomic scaffold, whole genome shotgun sequence.
AGGGAUUUAGCUCAGUGGCAUAAGCACCUGCCUUGGAAGCAGGCAGUCUUGAGUUCGAUCCCCGGUACCCAUA